AUGGUUUGCGGGAAAACUCUUCUCUCUCUGGUCUGACUUCGAGUCCUUCUAGAAGUAAAUAAAGGAAAUGCUUAUUCAACUACGGCACUGUUGGACAACCGACCGGAUUCAAGCCCUAGCCCCUCAACUCGGACGGACUUGUGGAAAUCCUCGAAAACAAGUAUUGCUCAACUCAUCUAUCUAUAA
rnacentral:rRNA from 1 species